UACGUAGGGUGCGAGCGUUAAUCGGAAUUACUGGGCGUAAAGCGUGCGCAGGCGGUGAGCUGUGUCCGAUGUGAAAGCCCCGGGCUUAACCUGGGAAUGGCAUUGGAAACUGGCUCGCUGGAGUGUGGCAGAGGGGGGUGGAAUUCCGCGUGUAGCAGUGAAAUGCGUAGAGAUGCGGAGGAACACCGAUGGCGAAGGCAGCCCCCUGGGCUAACACUGACGCUCGGGCACGAAAGCGUGGGGAGCAAACAGG
rnacentral:rRNA from 1 species